rnacentral:rRNA from 1 species
CAAUAGCGUAUAUUAAAGUUGUUGCAGUUAAAAAGCUCGUAGUUGGAUUUCGGGGUGGCCUGGCUGGUCCGCCGCAAGGUGAGUACUGGUCAGCCGCCCUUCCUCUCGAAAGCCCCGACUGCUCUUUACUGCAGUGGUCGGGUGGUUCGGGACGUUUACUUUGAAAAAAUUAGAGUGUUCAAGGCAGGCUAUCGCCUGAAUACAUUAGCAUGGAAUAAUGGAAGAGGACCUCGGUCCUAUUUUGUUGGUUUCUAGGGCCGAAGUAAUGAUUAAGAGGGACAGUUGGGGGCAUUCGUAUUUAAUUGUCAGAGGUGAAAUUCUUGGAUUUAUGAAAGACGAACUAGUGCGAAAGCAUUUGCCAAGGAUGUUUUCAUUAA